UCCGGUUUGUCACCGGCAGUCCCAUUAGAGUGCCCAACUUAAUGUGGCAACUAAUGGCAAGGGUUGCGCUCGUUGCGGGACUUAACCCAACAUCUCACGACACGAGCUGACGACAGCCAUGCAGCACCUGUGUUACGGUUCCCUUUCGGGCACACCUCCAUCUCUGGAGGCUUCCGUACAUGUCAAGGGUAGGUAAGGUUCUUCGCGUUGUACACCUGAAC
rnacentral:misc_RNA from 1 species